AGCUUGCUGCUUCGCUGACGAGUGGCGGACGGGUGAGUAAUGUCUGGGAAACUGCCUGAUGGAGGGGGAUAACUACUGGAAACGGUAGCUAAUACCGCAUAACGUCGCAAGACCAAAGAGGGGGACCUUCGGGCCUCUUGCCAUCGGAUGUGCCCAGAUGGGAUUAGCUAGUAGGUGGGGUAACGGCUCACCUAGGCGACGAUCCCUAGCUGGUCUGAGAGGAUGACCAGCCACACUGGAACUGAGACACGGUCCAGACUCCUACGGGAGGCAGCAGUGGGGAAUAUUGCACAAUGGGCGCAAGCCUGAUGCAGCCAUGCCGCGUGUAUGAAGAAGGCCUUCGGGUUGUAAAGUACUUUCAGCGGGGAGGAAGGCGGUGAGGUUAAUAACCUCAUCGAUUGACGUUACCCGCAGAAGAAGCACCGGCUAACUCCGUGCCAGCAGCCGCGGUAAUACGGAGGGUGCAAGCGUUAAUCGGAAUUACUGGGCGUAAAGCGCACGCAGGCGGUCUGUCAAGUCGGAUGUGAAAUCCCCGGGCUCAACCUGGGAACUGCAUUCGAAACUGGCAGGCUAGAGUCUUGUAGAGGGGGGUAGAAUUCCAGGUGUAGCGGUGAAAUGCGUAGAGAUCUGGAGGAAUACCGGUGGCGAAGGCGGCCCCCUGGACAAAGACUGACGCUC
rnacentral:rRNA from 1 species